UACGUAGGGUGCGAGCGUUAAUCGGAAUUACUGGGCGUAAAGCGUGUGUAGGCGGAUUGGUAAGUACCUUGUGAAAUCCCACGGCUUAACCGUGGAACUGCUUGGUAUACUGCUUAUCUUGGGCCACUUAGGGGUUACCGGAACAAACGGUGGAGCGGUGAAAUGCGUAGAUAUCGUUUGGAACGCCAAUGGUGAAAACAGGUAACUGGGAGUGUGCCGACGCUGAGACACGAAAGCCAGGGGAGCGAACGGG
rnacentral:rRNA from 1 species